UUUCCGCUAACCGGUGAGAAUGCCCUUAAAAACUAUAUAAAGUUAAAAGGAGCUGGUAUCAGGCACACCCCCUGGGUAGCCCAUUACACCUUGCUUAACCACACCCCCACGGGAUACAGCAGUGACUAACAUUAAGCUAUAAACGAAAGUUUGACUGAGUCAUAAUUUAGCAGGGUUGGUAAAUUUCGUGCCAGCCACCGCGGUCAUACGAUUAACCCAAAUUAACAGACCACCGGCGUAAAGCGUGUUUAAGUACAAUAUUCUAAUAAAGUUAAAACCUAACUAAACUGUAAAACGUUAUAGUUAAUAUCAAAAUAUGCAACUAAAGUGACUUUAAUCUACACUGAACACACGAUAGCUAAGACACAAACUGGGAUUAGAUACCCCACUAUGCUUAGCCCUAAACCCAAAUAGUUAAAAAACAAAACUAUUCGCCAGGGAACUACUAGCUAAUGCUUAAAACUCAAAGGACUUGGCGGUGCCCUAAACCCACCUAGAGGAGCCUGUUCUAUAAUCGAUAAACCCCGAUAAACCCCACCUCUUCUUGCCAAUACAGCCUAUAUACCGCCAUCGUCAGCUCACCCCAAUAGGGACCCAAAGUAGGCAAAACUAUAAAACCAUAAAAACGUUAGGUCAAGGUGUAGCAUAUGAAGAGGGAAGCAAUUGGCUACAUUUUCUAAACUAGAACAUAAC
rnacentral:rRNA from 1 species